rnacentral:lncRNA from 1 species
AUAUGUUUUCAAGAGAGCCUUUUCAGGCAGUGUUCUGACACUUACAAACAAUGGAUGGAAGUUCACUCGUCCUGUGAAUUCCCGAUGCAGUCAAGAAAUACUUCGCCUAAAACAAAGAAAAAAGCAGAAAAGCUCGAUGAGUCGAACACCCCAAAGGGCGACUUAGGCAAAAAGGAGCAUCUCGGUGGAUUGAAAACCCGAAAGGGCGAUCCAGGCAAAAGUUAGAGACAUUGAAAAAAAAAGAAUU